AUUCUUGGUGCAAUGGGUCAGCAUGUCUGGCUGUUAACCAGAAGGUUGAUGGUUCGAGUCCAGCCAGCGAUG